GCUGUUAUAGCUCAGGUGGUAGAGCGUCGCCUUGGUAAGGCGGAGGUCACGGGUUCGAGUCCCGUUAACAGCU
rfam:Clostridium sp. CAG:62 genomic scaffold, scf105